rnacentral:rRNA from 1 species
AUGGCAGAAUGCUUCAAUAAGGUGCUCAAGGGUGUACGUGCAUUACCCGUGACGGCAAUAGUUCAAUACACAUUUGACAAGAUGAAUGAAUACUUUUUAAAGCACUCAAUGGAGACUGAUAAGCAGAUUGCUGGUGAGAACAAGGAUAAGCACAAGUACAAUUUCCCACCAAAGGUUGAAGAAUGGUUGGAAUUUCAAUCACGAAAGGCAGACUCCGAAGAAGCUGUACUAUAUGACGACAACGAGUGGAAGUAUGAGGUGAAAGAGCCUGCAGGAACUACAAACGAUGGCCGCCAACACGGAGGCCGGGCUUUCAAGGUCUCCCUAACACGGUGUGAUUGCAGCUGCAUGAGGCCGUCUUUGCUUCAUCUCCCAUGCAAUAAGGGGAAAUGGCCUCGCUCUACUCAGUAG